rnacentral:ncRNA from 2 species
GGUCAUGAGUGUCAGCGAUUUGCCCCGGCUCGCUGACCGGCAACCCUCCACCGUGGUGGGGUGCCCCGGGUGAAGACCUGGUACCGAACCGCCCGGUUUCGGUGCAAGCGCGGGCC